GACGAACGCUGGCGGCGUGCUUAACACAUGCAAGUCGAACGGAAAGGCCCUGCUUGCAGGGUGCUCGAGUGGCGAACGGGUGAGUAACACGUGGGUGAUCUGCCCCUUACUUUGGGAUAAGCCUGGGAAACUGGGUCUAAUACUGGAUAGGACCAUGCUGUAGGUGGUGUGGUGGAAAGAUUAGUUUCGGUAAGGGAUGAGCUCGCGGCCUAUCAGCUUGUUGGUGGGGUAAUGGCCUACCAAGGCGUCGACGGGUAGCCGGCCUGAGAGGGUGGACGGCCACAUUGGGACUGAGAUACGGCCCAGACUCCUACGGGAGGCAGCAGUGGGGAAUAUUGCACAAUGGGCGCAAGCCUGAUGCAGCGACGCCGCGUGGGGGAUGACGGCCUUCGGGUUGUAAACUCCUUUCAGCCAUGACGAAGCCCUUGUGGUGACGGUAGUAGUAGAAGAAGCACCGGCUAACUACGUG
rnacentral:rRNA from 1 species